rnacentral:rRNA from 1 species
UCCCGGCGGUCCAAGUCGCAGCCACGUUUACUGGGUCUAAAACAUCCGUAGCUCGCCGUGUAAGUCUUGUGUGAAAUCGGGCAUCUUAAGUGUCCGGCGGGCACAAGAUACUGCUCGGCUCGAGACCGGGAGAUGUAAGGAGUACGCUUGGGGUAGCGGUAAAAUGCGUUGAUCCCGAGUGGACUAACGACAGCGAAGGCACCUUACAAGAACGGAUCUGACAGUGAGGGAUGAAGGCCAGGGGC